rnacentral:rRNA from 1 species
AGUGAACGCUGGCGGUAGGCCUAACACAUGCAAGUCGAACGGCAGCACAGUAAGAGCUUGCUCUUACGGGUGGCGAGUGGCGGACGGGUGAGGAAUACAUCGGACUCUACUUUUUCGUGGGGGAUAACGUAGCGAAACUUACGCUAAUACCGCAUACGACCUACGGUUGAAAGCAGGGGAUCUUCGGACCUUGCGCGAUUGAAUGAGCCGAUGUCGGAUUAGCUAGUUGGCGGGGUACAUGCCCACCAAGGCGGCGAUCCGUAGCUCGUCUGAGAGGAGGAUCAGCGACACGGGAAGGGGAAAGCCGACCAGGCGACUAAGAGACGGAGCAGUGGGGAAUAGUGGGCAAUGGGGGCGAACCUGGUCCAGUCAUACCGAGUGGGAGGAAGAAGCGUUCCGGGUGGAAAGACCUUUUGUUGGGAAAAAAAAGCAGCAGGUUAAGACGCAGCUGGUCUGACGGUAACCAAAGAAUAAGCACCGGCUAACUUCGUG